ACCGUCACCUCGGGGUGCCCGGAUCGGGCUGAGAUGCAUGACGCGAACCCGUUGAACCUGAACCGGCUAGAACCGGCGGAGGGAAGGUCGUGGGUCAUACU
rnacentral:ncRNA from 1 species